CUUGUUUUGAGUUCAAGCUCAACUCAAUUAAAGCCAAGUUGAGUGCGAAUAUUUGUAAUUCGAGUGUGAGUAGCACAUGGGUAUCUUGACUUAUUUAUACCUCUAUUUAGAAUUAACUACCACAAAUAUGUUCCUUCUUCAGGAGAGGGAUGGCAUUGGUUGGAGGUUACCUCAGUAAGGAAUGAUAAGGCAUUAAUAAGAUUAGAUUCCAGAUUUGUUCUCAUUCUAUCAAAAGUCGUGGUACCUUUUACUGGUUGAACAUAUAGGAUAUAGCUUCUAAGAGGAGCCAAAAUAAGUAUAGGGAAGAGAAUGAUAAAAAUAGUUGUGUUUACAUGUCUGCAGGCAGACAAUUAUAAAUGCAUUUAUCCUUACGGGUGAAAAUAUAUUUUAUUAAAGAUAUAUUUCAAUGCCUUUCUUAUCUAAUAGUAAGUUCUUGCACCUUCUUUUCUGUGAAAGAACUUAAUCCUUGUCAGUGUCCUGACUUAUUGAAGUCCUGACUUAUUGAAGUGGAGUUCAUUUCUGAUGAACUUUGUGAGUGAACAAAAUUGUCAGUUACAGCUGUUGAAACUUGAAAGUUG
rnacentral:misc_RNA from 1 species